GCAGANCNCCUUNCUUNGCCCUUCCGGGGAAUUUUCCGCAAUGGGCGAAAGCCUGACGGAGCAAUGCCGCGUGGAGGNGGAAGGCCUACGGGUCGUCAACUUCUUUUCUCGGAGAAGAAACAAUGACGGUNUCUGAGGAAUAAGCAUCGGCUAACUCUGUGCCANCAGCCGCGGUAAUAUAACUUCCUGCCANCAGNCGNGGUAAUA
rnacentral:rRNA from 1 species